rnacentral:rRNA from 1 species
UACGGAGGGUGCUAGCGUUGUUCGGAAUCACUGGGCGUAAAGCGCGUGUAGGCGGUCUACUAAGUCUGAUGUGAAAGCCCGGGGCUCACCCUCGGAAGUGCAUUGGAAACUGGCAGACUGGAGUCCCGGAGAGGAGGGUGGAAUUCCUGGUGUAGCGGUGAAAUGCGUAGAUAUUAGGAGGAACACCGGUGGCGAAGGCGGCCCUCUGGACGGUGACUGACGCUGAGACGCGAAAGCCAGGGGAGCGAACGGG